UUUAAAUAAAAUGCCCUAAGCAUUUUUAAUGGAAAAGUUUUGCCAGAUAUUUAUUAUUCCAUACUCUACCAAUAACAAUAUGAAUAUACCAAUGUGUAAUGGCAGAAUAUGUAAGGGGCCACGUUCGGACACACAUAGAUGGAGUUGGUUUAUUAGACGGGACCGACGCAUGGCGAAAAAUCGAUUUCCUUUCACUAUCACCGAUUUCAGAAAUUUUAAUGGCAGUCAAUUCUAAGCAUGUUAAAUCUUAGGAAGCAAACAUUUUUGAGUAGUUCAAUGUAAUUUGUUCAGAUCAGCGUCAUGUGGCUUCGAAUUACGUAAUGCAAAUAUUUAUGGCUGAUAACAUCUCCCA